rnacentral:rRNA from 1 species
UACGAAGGGGGCUAGCGUUGCUCGGAAUUACUGGGCGUAAAGGGAGCGCAGGCGGUGAUGUAAGACAGUUGUGAAAUCCCCGGGCUCAACCUGGGAACUGCAUCUGUGACUGCAUCGCUGGAGUGCGGCAGAGGGGGAUGGAAUUCCGGCGUGUAGCAGUGAAAUUCGUAGAUAGUUCGCAAGAACACCAGUGGCGAAGGCGGCUCACUGGCCCGAGUACUGACGCUGAGGCACGAAAGCGUGGGGAGCAAACAGGG